rnacentral:rRNA from 1 species
GCAUAUCAAUAAGCGGAGGAAAAGAAACCAACAGGGAUUGCCUCAGUAUCGGCGAGUGAAGCGGCAAAAGCUCCAUUUUGAAAGCUCUUCGGAGCGUUGUAGAUUGGUGGGAAGCUAACGGCUGGUGGGAGACCAAGUCCUCUGGAACGAGGCGCCAUAGAGGGUGAGAGCCCCGUGUGUCUCCUUUACCGACCUUUCAGCCCCCUCCGCGGAGUCGAGUUGUUUGGGAAUGCAGCUCUAAGUGGGUGGUAAAUUCCAUCUAAGGCUAAAUAUUGGCGAGAGACCGAUAGCGAACAAGUACAGUGAUGGAAAGAUGAAAAGCACUUUGAAAAGAGAGUGAAACAGUACGUGAAAUUGUUGAAAGGGAAGGGUAUUUGGCCCGACAUGGGUCCUAUGCACCGUUGCCUCUCGUGGGCGGCGCUCUGCUUGGGCCUGGGCCAGCGUCAGUUUGGAGGGGGCGAGAAGGGUUUUGGGGAGUUGCCUAGCAAUUCCCCUUUGCUAGAUUGCCCCACACCGGACUGAGGACCGCCAUCUGUAGGAUGCUGGCACAACGGCCAAAUACCGCCCGUCUUGAAACACGGACC